rnacentral:rRNA from 1 species
AUGGAGCAGUUAAACUUGGAGGAUGAAGCCUUUGAUGAUCGGGUGAUUGAUGAGAACGAUCCCGAGAUCAAUGAGAGCGUCAGGUGGCUAGCCCUUGCUAGGGUUCACACGGACAAAACCUUCAGCCCGUCGGCCUUCUACAAGGAUAUGCGGGCGGCAUGGAAUCCUGCCCAACAUGUGCAUUUCUGUCCUGUCGGCCCAAAUUUGUUCGUUGUUCAGGCCGCGUGCCUCGGCGACUGGGAACGGAUGAUCGAGCAGGGUCCCUGGUUGUUUAGGAACUUCUUAGUGCUGAUGUGCCCCUAUGAUGGAUUCACCAAAGCAGAGGAGGUUCCUAUGGUGUUCAUGCCAAUUUGGCUCCAGAUCCACAAACUCCCAGAGGGUUUCUGUAAGAAAGGCAUUGUGGAACAUCUGCUUAGGAAUUCAGGGAAGAUUCUAGAGAUGAGAUUGAAUGGGAAUACCCGUGGUGACUAUGUGAGAAUUAGGGUUCACCAUGAUGUGUGUCAGCCCUUAACCAAGUUCGUUAGUAUUGUAAGAGGCAAAGAGCGUCAGGUGUUCCUGGUACGUUAUGAGAAACUGGCCCGUUUUUGCAGUGUCUGUGGCAUUAUAGGCCAUGAUUACAAAGAGUGUGGCACUGGAACCCACGAGAAGAAGAACAAGAAGUUUGGCGCGUGGUUAUAUGCAGAUGGCUCUAACAAGCCACGGCCGAAAGGUGCUAAUCGGGGU